AGUCGUAACAAGGUAGCCGUAGUGGAAACUGCGGCUGGAUCACCUCCUUU
rnacentral:rRNA from 1 species